CGAGACUCCAGGUCGGCUAAAAGCGGCCACGUCCUGUGGCCAACGCCGACACUAGAUCAUCCAGAUCG
rnacentral:sRNA from 1 species